rnacentral:rRNA from 1 species
UACGUAGGGUGCGAGCGUUAAUCGGAAUUACUGGGCGUAAAGCGUGCGCAGGCGGUUCGUUAUGUCCGAUGUGAAAGCCCCGAGCUCAACUUGGGAAUGGCAUUGGAAACUGGCGGGCUGGAGUGUGGCAGAGGGGGGUGGAAUUCCACGUGUAGCAGUGAAAUGCGUAGAGAUGUGGAGGAACACCGAUGGCGAAGGCAGCCCCUGGGCCAACACUGACGCUCAGGCACGAAAGCGUGGGGAGCAAACAGG